AGGGAAUCUUCCGCAAUGGACGAAAGUCUGACGGAGCAACGCCGCGUGAGUGAAGAAGGCCUUCGGGUCGUAAAACUCUGUUGCCGGGGAAGAACAAGUGCCGUUCGAACAGGGCGGCGCCUUGACGGUACCCGGCCAGAAAGCCACGGCUAACUACGUGCCAGCAGCCGCGGUAAUACGUAGGUAGCAAGCGUUGUCCGGAAUUAUUGGGCGUAAAGCGCGCGCAGGCGGCUUCUUAAGUCUGAUGUGAAAUCUUGCGGCUCAACCACAAGCGGUCAUUGGAAACUGGGAGGCUUGAGUGCAGAAGAGGAGAGUGGAAUUCCACGUGUAGCGGUGAAAUGCGUAGAGAUGUGGAGGAACACCAGUGGCGAAGGCGGCUCUCUGGUCUGUAACUGACGCUGAGGCGCGAAAGCGUGGGGAGCAAAC
rnacentral:rRNA from 1 species